GUGCUGAAAGCAUCUAAGCACGAAACUUGCCCCGAGAUGAGUUCUCCCUGAGACUUUAAGUCUCCUGAAGGAACGUUAAAGACGAUGACGUUGAUAGGUCGGGUGUGUAAGCGCAGCGAUGCGUUGAGCUAACCGAUACUAAUGAACCGUGAGGCUUAACCUU
rnacentral:rRNA from 1 species